GGGUUGUGAGGUUAAGCGACUAAGCGUACACGGUGGAUGCCCUGGCAGUCAGAGGCGAUGAAGGACGUGCUAAUCUGCGAUAAGCGUCGGUAAGGUGAUAUGAACCGUUAUAACCGGCGAUUUCCGAAUGGGGAAACCCAGUGUGUUUCGACACACUAUCAUUAACUGAAUCCAUAGGUUAAUGAGGCGAACCGGGGGAACUGAAACAUCUAAGUACCCCGAGGAAAAGAAAUCAACCGAGAUUCCCCCAGUAGCGGCGAGCGAACGGGGAGGAGCCCAGAGCCUGAACCAGUGUGUGUGUUAGUGGAAGCGUCUGGAAAGGCGCGCGAUACAGGGUGACAGCCCCGUACACAAAAAUGCACAUGCUGUGAGCUCGAUGAGUAGGGCGGGACACGUGGUAUCCUGUCUGAAUAUGGGGGGACCAUCCUCCAAGGCUAAAUACUCCUGACUGACCGAUAGUGAACCAGUACCGUGAGGGAAAGGCGAAAAGAACCCCGGCGAGGGGAGUGAAAAAGAACCUGAAACCGUGUACGUACAAGCAGUGGGAGCACGCUUCGGCGUGUGACUGCGUACCUUUUGUAUAAUGGGUCAGCGACUUAUAUUCUGUAGCAAGGUUAACCGAAUAGGGGAGCCGAAGGGAAACCGAGUCUUAACUGGGCGUUAAGUUGCAGGGUAUAGACCCGAAACCCGGUGAUCUAGCCAUGGGCAGGUUGAAGGUUGGGUAACACUAACUGGAGGACCGAACCGACUAAUGUUGAA
rnacentral:rRNA from 1 species